rnacentral:rRNA from 1 species
GACACAGGGAGGUAGUGACAAGAAAUAACAAUACGGGGCUUAAUGUCUUGUAAUUGGAAUGAUGGGAAUUUAAACCUCUUCCAGAGUAUCAAUUGGAGGGCAAGUCUGGUGCCAGCAGCCGCGGUAAUUCCAGCUCCAAUAGCGUAUAUUAAAAUUGUUGCAGUUAAAAAGCUCGUAGUUGAAUUUCUGCUGCAUUACAUAUCUCUUGUUUGAGUUUGUUUUUGUGGCUUAUUUCGGUUUGAUUUUUCUUUCCGGAUGAUUACUUUGAGAAAAUUAGAGUGCUCAAAGCAGGCUUUUGCCUUGAAUAGUUUAGCAUGGAAUAAUAAAGUAGGACUUUGGUUCUAUUUUGUUGGUUUUAGGUACCAAAGUAAUGGUUAAUAGGAACAGUUGGGGGCAUUCGUAUUUAACUGUCAGAGGUGAAAUUCUUAG